rnacentral:rRNA from 1 species
UACGAAGGGGGCUAGCGUUGCUCGGAAUCACUGGGCGUAAAGCGCACGUAGGCGGAUUGCUAAGUCAGGGGUGAAAUCCUGGAGCUCAACUCCAGAACUGCCUUUGAUACUGAAGAUCUUGAGUCCGGGAGAGGUGAGUGGAACUGCGAGUGUAGAGGUGAAAUUCGUAGAUAUUCGCAAGAACACCAGUGGCGAAGGCGGCUCACUGGCCCGGUACUGACGCUGAGGCGCGAAAGCUAGGGGAGCAAACGGG